rnacentral:rRNA from 1 species
UACGGAGGGUGCAAGUGUUGUCCGGAAUCACUGGGCGUAAAGGGCGCGUAGGCGGCUCAUGAAGGCUGUGGUGAAAGUCCGGGGCUCAACCUCGGAUCGGCCGUGGCGACUCGUGGGCUGGAGCACUGUAGAGGCGGGUGGAAUUCCGGGUGUAGCGGUGGAAUGCGUAGAGAUCCGGAAGAACACCAGUGGCGAAGGCGGCCGCUGGGCAGUGGCUGACGCUGAGGCGCGACAGCGUGGGGAGCAAACAGG